UACGAAGGGGGCGAGCGUUGUUCGGAUUUACUGGGCGUAAAGGGCGCGCAGGCGGCCAGAUUUGUCAGGCGUGAAAGCCCCGGGCUCAACCCGGGAAGUGCAUUGGAUACUGGGAGACUUGAAUACGGGAGAGGGUAGUGGAAUUCCUAGUGUAGGAGUGAAAUCCGUAGAUAUUAGGAGGAACACCGGUGGCGAAGGCGGCUACCUGGACCGAUAUUGACGCUGAGACGCGAAAGCGUGGGGAGCAAACAGG
rnacentral:rRNA from 1 species